AUAACAAAGGAAUAUUUAUUCAUUUUUGGGGUAUGAACCCAACAGCUUAUUUUUUAGCUUACUUUGUU
rnacentral:tRNA from 1 species